CCGUCCGCCACGUGGGACGACGUGUCCGCCCCGGAGCAUGGCGGUUAGGCUGACGACGUGCGCCUCCCCCCGGAGCCGCAAAGCCGACAGCCGUCGCACCCCAGGGAGCACCUCCAUG
rnacentral:sRNA from 1 species